GACGAACGCUGGCGGCGUGCCUAAUACAUGCAAGUUGAGCGAUGAAGAUUGGUGCUUGCCCCAAUUUGAAGAGCAGCGAACGGGUGAGUAACGCGUGGGGAAUCUGCCUUUGAGCGGGGGACAACAUUUGGAAACGAAUGCUAAUACCGCAUAACAACUUUAAACAUAAGUUUUAAGUUUGAAAGAUGCAAUUGCAUCACUCAAAGAUGAUCCCGCGUUGUAUUAGCUAGUUGGUGAGGUAAAGGCUCACCAAGGCGAUGAUACAUAGCCGACCUGAGAGGGUGAUCGGCCAACUUGGGACUGAGACACGGCCCAAACUCCUACGGGAGGCAGCAGUAGGGAAUCUUCGGCAAUGGACGAAAGUCUGACCGAGCAACGCCGCGUGAGUGAAGAAGGUUUUCGGAUCGUAAAACUCUGUUGGUAGAGAAGAACGUUGGUGAGAGUGGAAAGCUCAUCAAGUGACGGUAACUACCCAGAAAGGGACGGCUAACUACGUG
rnacentral:rRNA from 1 species